rnacentral:lncRNA from 1 species
GGUGUGGAAUGUGAGGCCUCCAUUGCUGAGUACUUUCACCACUGUGAUUGAGGAAAUUUUCAUUUGCUUUCUCUAAGGAAGUGACAUAUAAGCUGAGCCUGAAAGAUGAAGAGGAGCAGAUUGUAUGCAGAGCAGAGGGAAGAGCAAGCUGAUGGAGGUGACUAAUCAGAGGGCCUGAUGGUCAAGUGCUCAAGGUGGAGUUAAAGGAAACCCUGCUUUCUUGACAUCACCAGCUGCUCAGAAGCCUUCAGCAGGCAUCCUAGACCUUCUCCUUCUCUAAGGGAUGGGCCUCACCUACUUUCUUCAGCUGAGACCUGGCACAGACCCUUGGAGCUUCUAAGGACCCCAUUGUAGCCUUGGGGUGGAGGCCCAUGGCACCACUGCCCUCUCCCUGGGAUAAAGGUCCUGGGGCCACUUCUCAGGGCUGUGUCCCUCUAUCAGGAGGGUCUCACUUUGUCACCCCACCUGGAGUGUAGUGGCGCAAUCUCAGUUCACUGCAGCCUCCGCCUCCCAAGUCAAGCGACUCUCCUGCCUCAGCCUCCUGAGUAGCUGGGAUUACAGGCAUGCACCACCACACCUGGCUAAUUUUUGUAUUUUUAGUAGACGCAGGGUUUCGCUAUGUUGUCUAGGCUGUUCGCAAACUCCUGACUUCAAGUGAUCCACCUACCUCACCCUCCCAAAAUGCUGGGAUUACUGGCGCCUUGCCUAAAGUUGGUAUUCUAAUUUUCAAAUAAGGAAAUUGGAGCUCAGAAGGUUAUCCGAUUUUACCAGGGACACACAGUUGACAAGCAGCAGAAUCAGAGAUGGAACUCAGAUCUGUGCAUGUCCAAAGUUAGUGCACUCAACCACUUCCCUGUAUGCUUCUAUGGAUCAAUCAACAUUGAAACAAUUUUUUCUUGGUCUCCAGCCUUUAAAAACAAGUCUCUUUAAGCUGAGUAACUGACUUAAAGUAAUAGGUGCAUGGAAUCGGUGCUAUUUGUCCAAACUGCUCCCAUCUCUUCCACACUGAUCUUGUUCAAGUUCUCAAACAUGACAAUAUUUUCUGGAUGCUUUUCAAAUAUAUCAUUUUACAUGUUCGAAAUCUCUUAAUACCACUCAGGAGUGAGUAAAUAUUAGCAGCCAUUAGUUAUGGAGUAGUAAACUGAGCUAGAAAUAAGAUGAAUGACAAGUUCUAGAACGUAACAGCGGUGGGAGGUGUCUCAGCAAAGCAGCAAUGGAGCCAAUAAAGGUUUAUGGACUCAUAAGUCCACAGUAAGAAAUGUCCUACAUGCAGUGUAGGACUCAGGAAGUUGAGACCUCAGAGUGCUUGCUUGGUUUUGAACUCCAUAUCACGGAACCAUAAAUACAUACAUAGUCAUAUGCAUGAGUCCUCAGGUUCUAGUAACUGAUUCACAAACUCUUCCUGGAAGUCCUUUGGUAAUAAAUAUCAGAAUUACGAGCAAUGUGUUUUCUAAGUCAGAACAACACACUGUAUCCAAUUAGUCUCAGCGAAGUCCCAGUAAAGGAAUUUCAUCCAAUCUGACUCAGAACAACACGGUGGUGACAUCAGGUCCAAUACAGACCCUGCAGAGAAAAUGAAUGGGUGGGGAUAGACUGAGCACAUGUGCACUUUUCUGGGUCCCUCCUCUGCGGCGCAGGCCACAGGCAGUCCUUUCUAGUAAAGCCUGUGUGAAACCCUGGUGGUGAAGGAGUCUUAUCUUGACAGCUUCCGCUGUAUCACAACAUUCACAACAGUAUGUCAGUAAAAGGCAAAAAGAAACAACCCAAUUAUAUUGAACCACAGAUGUGUAGAUGUGUACACAGAUGUUCCCCCCCAUCCCCACUCCAAAAAAGGAAGUUCCCCGGAUGUCUUGCUCCGUAGCAAUUGUCACAUGCAUUUUAAAGAAAUUCAGCAUCUUUGUGUCACAUUCUCAAGAUAGUUUCAAAUUAACGUUUGACUACUUGAGAGGCUGAAGUGGGAGGAUUGAUUGAGGCUAGGAGUUCAAAGCCAGCCUGGGCAACAUAGUGAGACCCCCAUUUCCAAAAAAAAAAUAAAAGAGUAAAAAAACAGUUAUCUUCGGCAUUGGAGUCAAUGGGGUGUAUGGCUAAAUAUCAGAAACACCACACUUCCUUAGCUAACUUUACUUAGAGAUAUUUGUUCUGAUUCAAGCUUUGUUCUUUUAUUCCCUUUUAUUUAUGAAUUUAUGAAGAGCACAGAUACCAUUU